rnacentral:misc_RNA from 1 species
AGCAGCCGCGGUAAUUCCAGCUCCAAUAGCGUAUAUUAAAGUUGUUGCAGUUAAAAAGCUCGUAGUUGAAUUUCGGGAUCAAUACGUCGGUCGUGCUUCGGUACGUACUGGCGUAAUUGAUUUCUCCCUUCUGACGAACCAUGAUGUCAUUAACUUGGUGUCAUGGGAAAUCAGGACUGUUACUUUGAAAAAUUAGAGUGUUUAAAGCAGGCUCACGCUUGAAUACAUUAGCAUGGAAUAAUGAAAUAGGACGUUCGAUCCUAUUUUGUUGGUUUUUAGGAUCAACGUAAUGAUUAAUAGGGAUAGUUGGGGGCAUUAGUAUUCAAUUGUCAGAGGUGAAAUUCUUGGAUUUAUUGAGGACUAACUACUGCGAAAGCAUUUGCCAAGGAUGUUUUCAUUAAUCAAGAACGAAAGUUAGGGGAUCGAAGACGAUCAGAUACCGUCGUAGUCUUAACCAUAAACUAUGCCGACUAGGGAUCGGAUGAUGUUAAUUUUUAAUGACUCAUUCGGCGCCUUAAC